rnacentral:rRNA from 1 species
CACCUGAUCCGCAUGCCGCGUGUGUGAGAAGGCCUUCGGGUUGUAAAGCACUUUUGUCCGGAAAGAAAUGGCUCUGGUUAAUACCCGGAGUCGAUGACGGUACCGGAAGAAUAAGCACCGGCUAACUACGUGCCAGCAGCCGCGGUAAUACGUAGGGUGCGAGCGUUAAUCGGAAUUACUGGGCGUAAAGCGUGCGCAGGCGGUUUUGUAAGACAGGCGUGAAAUCCCCGGGCUCAACCUGGGAAUUGCGCUUGUGACUGCAAGGCUAGAGUGUGUCAGAGGGGGGUAGAAUUCCACGUGUAGCAGUGAAAUGCGUAGAGAUGUGGAGGAAUACCGAUGGCGAAGGCAGCCCCCUGGGACAUGACUGACGCUCAUGCACGAAAGCGUGGGGAGCAAACA